GAUGAAGGUUUUCGGAUCGUAAAGCUUCUUUUUCCAGGGAAGAAAGUUCCAGGUGAGUAACUGCACCUGGAGUGAGGGUACCUGAGAAGAAAGCCCCGGCUAACUACGUGCCAGCAGCCGCGGUAAUACGUAGGGGGCCAGCGUUGUUCCGGAAUUAUUGGGCGUAAAGCGCGUGCAGGCGGGUUUCUAAGUUUGAGUGUUUAAGACCGGGGGUCAACCCCGGGUCGCACCCGAAACUGGGAAGCUUGAGUGUAGGAGAGGAAAGUGGAAUUUCACGUGUAGCGGUGAAAUGCGUAGAGAUGUGGAGGAACACCAGUGGCGAAGGCGACUUUCUGGCCUAUAACUGACGCUGAGGCGCGAAAGCGUGGGGAGCAAACAGGAUUAGAUACCCUGGUAGUUCACGCCGUAAACGAUGAGUGCUAGGUGUUUGGGGGUUUGAUACCCUGGGUGCCGAAGUUCACGCAUUAAACACUCCGCCUGGGGAGUACGGUUGCAAGAAUGAAAAUCAAAGGAAUUGACGGGGGCCCGCACAAGCAGUGGAGUAUGUGGUUUAAUUUGAAGCAACGCGAAGAACCUUUCCAAGUUUUGACAUCCUUUUGGCCGGACUAGAGAUAGUCUUUUCCUUUGGGGCAGAAGUGACAGGUGGUGCAUGGUUGUUGUCAGCUUGUGUUGUGAGAUGUUGGGUUAAGUCCCGCAAAGAGGGCAACCCUUGACUUUAGUUGCCAGCAUUUUAAGAUGGGCACUCUAGAGUGACUGCCGGUGACAAACCGGAGGAAGGCGGGGAUGACGUCAAAUCAUCAUGCCCCUUAUGACUUGGGCUACACACGUACUACAAUGGCCGGUACAGAGGGUCGCGAAGCCGCGAGGUGAAGCCAAUCCCAGAAAGCCGGUCUCAGUUCGGAUUGUAGGCUGCAACUCGCCUGCAUGAAGUCGGAAUUGCUAGUAAUCGCGGAUCAGCAUGCCGCGGUGAAUACGUUCCCGGGUCUUGUACACACCGCCCGUCACACCACGAGAGUUUACAACACCCGAAGUCGGUGAGGUAACCGCAAGA
rnacentral:rRNA from 1 species